CCUACGGGUGGCAGCAGUGAGGAAUAUUGGUCACUGGGCGCGAGCCUGAACCAGCCAAGUCGCGUGAGGGAAGACGGCCCUACGGGUUGUAAACCUCUUUUGCCGGGGAGCAACGGGCGCCACGUGUGGCGCCACUGAGAGUACCCGGAGGAAAGCAUCGGCUAACUCCGUGCCAGCAGCCGCGGUAAUACGGGGGAUGCGAGCGUUAUCCGGAUUUAUUGGGUUUAACGGGUACGUAGGCGGAGCGUUAAGUCAGUGGUAAAAUUGAGGGGCUCAACCCCUUCCCGCCAUUGAAACUGGCGCUCUUGAGUGGAAGAGAAGUAUGCGGAAUGAGUGGUGUAGCGGUGAAAUGCAUAGAUAUCACGCAGAACCCCGAUUGCGAAGGCAGCAUGCCGGCUUCCGACUGACGCUGAAGCACGAAAGCGUGGGGAUCGAACAGGAUUAGAUACCCGGGUAGUC
rnacentral:rRNA from 1 species